GCUGCUGAAACUGCAGAACAGCGUGCUUGGCGUGCUGAGGUGGAAGCUGAAACCUUGUCCCUGGGGUAGCGAGGCCACGCAGAAGGUCACAAAUGGCUGACAGUGCCGAGCUGGUUCCAGGCUCUGUGCACCCCCUGGGAUGGAUCUCGUUGCUGCCCUUUCUGCUGGGGACUGUGCAGGGAACACAGAAAUGCUGCUGCCGAGAAAUGCAGAGAAGGAUGUGACAGCAUCACCAGCCUUAGAAGAAACAGCAGCAGCACCAGAGAUGGAAAGUCAACCCUGAUGGAGCAGUGGUGGAAGCAUCAGAAAACCCAGAGGCAGAAGGACUUGCUGAAAUUAUCCAAGCAGCAGAACAAAUAGCAAAAUCUGAAGUGGCCAAGGUGCUGCAGUCAGCAAUAGCUGAGCUCAAGGAGAUGAGGAGGAGCGCGUGGUUAAAGCUAAAGAACAUCACCCAACAGGAGGAGGAGGACUGGGAGAAGAAGAGAGAGAUGAUGUGAGGUGAAGGUUGGUUCAUACCCAAAGUGAGGCUCAUACCCUGGGCAUUUCCCCUUUGUAAGUGCCCACGCUCUUAAAAAUAAAGAUA